CGCGGUAUUAUGACCGUGCGAAGGUAGCAUAAUCAUUAGUCUUUUAAUUGAGGGCUGGUAUGAAGGGUCGGACGAGAAAUGAGCUGUCUUAAAUUUUGAAAAUUGAAUUUAACUCUUAAGUGAGAAGGCUUAAAUAGGCUAGGGGGACGAUAAGACCCUAUAAAGUUUGACACUAAAUUAAUUAGGGGUGAUUAAGGUAAUAAAGUCUUAUUAUUAUAUAAGUGUUUAGUUGGGGCGACUAGGAUAUAAGUUAUUUAACUGUUUCUUCACUCGAAUCAAAAAUUUUUGAUUUUAUGAUCCUUUUUUAGGAUAUUAGAGUAAAUUACUUUAGGGAUAACAGCGUAAUUUUUUUUGAGAGUUCUUAUCGAUAAAAGAGUUUGCGACCUCGAUGUUGAAUUAAAAUUUCUUUGUAAUGCAGCAGUUACAAGAGAGGGUC
rnacentral:rRNA from 1 species